rnacentral:lncRNA from 1 species
CAAGCAACCUGGAAAAUUACGGUGUUUUACUUCAAGACCUUGAGCUGAGGCAGCAGCACCAGGGAGCUGGUGGACCAGAGCCCAGACUGACAAUAUCAUCUUUGGAACCAAGAAAAGAGAAAAGGUUGCAUAUUGGAACCUCUCUGGGAAAAAACAUACCUGAACUCACCUGUAAAAAACCAAAAAGGCUGAUGUCAAACUGUUGUGCUUUUACUGAUUUACUUCAUAAUGAAUGUACCAGUUAAAGUAACACUGGACUAUCAAAGAAAUUGAGAACAGAACUUUAUUUUCAGGCUUAAU